UCAGUGGAGUCCGGAGUGGGGAUGGCACAGCUCGGCUGGGUGAAACCAAACCAGCUGCUGCUACGGAGCUCCAGACAGAAGCAGGAAAGAGGGGGACACAUGUGCAGUUUUAGGCCCAGGUGUCAUAUUUAGACUUUUCGAAUGAGAUUGAAUUGUCAGACAAAUUGAAUUCUAAUUCAUUCAUUGAUUCCAUGCGGACGUCAGCAGCCAUUUUCUGUGUCCAGCGUAGAAAUGGAGGCUGGUCGCUGUGCAGUGGGAGGAACAUUACAUCUGAAGUAAACUGCAAAUAGAGCGAGGAUUACAGCCUUGGUCUUAGAAUAGCACACUCUGCCAGUCUGAACUCAAUUUUCACUCCAUUUAAAGUCUGAUGGCUCUCAGAUAAAGUCUUUACAGCAUGGGGUGCUGCAGGUCAGAGUGGGGACGCCUGUCCACCUGCCGCUAUGAACCUCACACUGACGCAGUAACAUGCCAUGUAGCAUAGGUCAACCCUCUGAGAAAUUCACCUCAUGAGGAUAUCCUUGUCUGUACUCGUUGGUUAGCUAUAUUGGAUCAGUGAUCCUGGCCAAAUUGAUGGUUACUAACAACUCCUUUACCACAGGUUAAAUUCACCAGAAACACAAGCACUGAUCCCAUAAACUAUACACCAACAGAAACCCGAGCUGAAAAAUGCUAUUAUACCUGAACAUAUCUCAUCUGACAAGGAUAUCCUCACCAGUUUCGUCAGUUUGUGUGACUAAUUUGUUUUUUAAAGAGAACUAAAUACACCAUGAAUUCUA